CCAUGGGAUGGUGUCACCAACAUUUAAGACGGGUCUCCCAACCUCAGUUAACUCAUCUAGGCUCCCUCACAGGCAUGCCGAGAGGGUUGUGAAGUAAAAGCCCGUUGACAACAUUAACCAUCAUAGACCUGUUCUUCUCAACGGAAGUGAAGUUAGGUUCUGGGUGUGUUAUGUGGGAAGAGAUUGGACAUCUCUAAGUGGAAGGCAGAGAGGUCCAGUCCGAGUUUAGAAGGUAUCACUCCCAAAGCCAUGUCCUCAGAGCAAUAGGACCACUACCCAGCUGCAUGGGAACUGUGGACCUGGUCACAGAGCUGAUGCUGCCCUCCUCCAGAGAGCAGUUUUGACCUUGCCUGGGUCAUACCACUCGAAACCCCAAGAAGUCAUCUUUAUGAAGCAAGGUCUCUUCUGCUGAGUCUCAGAAAAAGCCAGUAGGGAACCAGAAGAAGGAGGGGAAAUAAAGAGCUUGCUACUUCCUUGUCAAGUGUUUCCCUGUUCCAGACAUCAGCUAAAACAAAACCAAAGGCGGCCAGGAGU
rnacentral:lncRNA from 1 species